rnacentral:tRNA from 1 species
UCCCUAGUGGCUCAGUUGGUAAAGAAUCUGCCUGCAAUGCAGGAGACUGCCUGCAGCGUAGAAGACCUGGGUUCGAUCCCUAGAUUGGGAA